UACGUAGGGUCCAAGCGUUAAUCGGAAUUACUGGGCGUAAAGGGUGCGUAGGCGGGUCUUUAAGUCAGGGGUGAAAUCCUGGAGCUCAACUCCAGAACUGCCUUUGAUACUGAGGAUCUUGAGUCCGGGAGAGGUGAGUGAACUGCGAGUGUAGAGGUGAAAUUCGUAGAUAUUCGCAAGAACACCAGUGGCGAAGGCGGCUCACUGGCUCGGUACUGACGCUGAGGCGCGAAAGCGUGGGGAGCGAACAGG
rnacentral:rRNA from 1 species